rnacentral:rRNA from 1 species
AGUGAACGCUGGCGGUAGGCCUAACACAUGCAAGUCGAACGGCAGCACAGUAAGAGCUUGCUCUUACGGGUGGCGAGUGGCGGACGGGUGAGGAAUACAUCGGCAUCUACUUUUUCGUGGGGGAUAACGUAGGGAAACUUACGCUAAUACCGCAUACGACCUACGGGUGAAAGCAGUGGAUCUUCGGACCUUGCGCGAUUGAAUGAGCCGAUGUCGGAUUAGCUAGUUGGCGGGGUAAAGGCCUACCAAGGCGACGAUCCGUAGCUGGUCUGAGAGGAUGAUCAGCCACACUGGAACUGAGACACGGUCCAGACUCCUACGGGAGGCAGCAGUAGGGAAUAUUGGGCAAUGGGCGCAAGCCUGACCCAGCCAUACCGCGUGAGUGAAGAAGGCCUUCGGAUUGUAAAGCCCUUUUGUUGGGAAAGAAAAGCAGCAGGUUAAUACCCCGCUGUUCUGACGGUACCCAAAGAAUAAGCACCGGCUAACUACGUG